UGCACUAGACUCUUUCCCAGAUUACACUACAGCAACAUCCCUUUUGUACUUGCAAAACAAUGAGUCAAGCAAUUAACGUGUGUAAUCUACAAAACAGAGGUGGCUACAUUCACAGUUUUUAUUUGUCUGUCCUGAUGUUUCAGAGUUAAACAUUUGCAUGACUGAAAGUAUUCAUAUGCAAUACUGACAUGAAAAUCAAUUUCCAGAUACCUGAUGGAGAUGGACUAUAUAAAGUCUGGGUCCUUGCUUUGUGCAACCAACUAGUAUUCCACACGGUUGUUUACAAAACACAAUAACUCUAGCUCACUCAUUGCUUUGCAGGAAAAUAUUUCUAGCACUGUUUUUUUCACUUAUUCACUGCCAUCUACCUCAAGAAGAUAUUUUUGGUGUCUUUCUUGACCUAAAGACUGACCUACAAUUAUUUUUCUAUUGUACUCCAAGGGAUACAUCUACAGGUAAAUUCCUUAUUUGCACAAAGAAAAUACAGAUUUGUUAUUAAUUCUUGCUAACAGUGUGUAGUUGGCACAUUGUGUCCUGGCUAAUUUGAUGUCUCGUGUUAAUUGUUUGAUACAAAACAAACCAUUUUUAUGAAAGUUUGAAGAGUUAAGUGAGACUUAUUUGCUUUUGCAAGAAACACGUCGUAAGAAAUUUUUGAAAUUUUGUAAAAGUUUUUCUUAUUUGUGUGAAUAGUUUUGUAAAAAAUAGCCAAAAGUUACAAAGAAUGUGCUUAGGUAAUCAGACAAAACUGUAUCAGGUAGCCCAGGUCAUUGUUCUGGACACUAGCAAUAGUGAAAAUAUUUUUGAUUUCACAACGCCACAGGUUCAUGUCAAGUUAAUCAUAAUACUGUUUUGCAGAAAAAUCAGACCGAAAAGAGUUUGCCCAUGAAAGGACUUCAUUGCUUCUGGUAAAGACAAACACACAUUUCAGAAAAGAUUCAUCAUGACUGAAAAAGACUAAGACCAACAAAACAAACAUCAUAACAUAACAUUAAAGAUGGACAUCUGAAUGUUUUGAUCAGGUGCAGAACAAUCAUUCAGAGGUGAUGAGUGACCUGAUACAAUCAUGCUCUCUUCCUGAAGAGAGCUAUUCAAUUAUGGUUUCUUUUUUUCACGAAACGUCUGACGAGAAUAAAGUAAACCAAAAAAUAGAAAAAAAAGAAAAAGAAGAGAAAAUAGAAGAAGUUUCAUGGAAACCAGCCACCCACCUACCUGAUAAAAGCAAACCCCCAAGGUUGUAUUGAGGUAAAAAUGUCCUCAGACACUUCAUCUCAUAGAGUCUAUGAUAAGAAGAAUCACGGCCUUUACUGUGAGCAGAAGCACGCUGAGAAAACUGAAGUGGCGGAGGCACUUGCACACAACCAAGGGACAUCUACAUGGAAUCUUCUUUUCAGCUAAUGGAUUAAUAUGAGAAAGUACCACCUCAAUUGCUCAGUUCUUUCCUCUGGAAAAUGACUAAUUGUACCCAAACGACAAGCACUUCACCCAUCCAUUGAAGCAGACUACUUGCCUUGCGAGUUCUGUUUUGCAAUGUAUAUAAGGACAGACCUCUGGAGACAUCACAAGCGUUGCAAAUUCAAAGUGACCAAGGUUGGCCCAGUGAAAAGAAAGAUCCUAUCCACUGCUUCCCUGAUGUUGCCAAUUACUGAUCAACUGAUAAAGAUUUUGGAAGGCAUGACUACGAUAUUGUCACUCAAGUCAGAUGUGCGCAUAAUUGCCUUAGGUGAGAAGAUGUUUGUUGUUAAGUCAGAUGUGCUCAUAAUUUCCGUAGGUGAGAAGAUGCAAAAUGGAUAAGUGGGACGACACCAUGCUGACAUGAGAAAUAAAAUGAGGGAGCUUGGCAGACUAGUUAUAUCAGCCAAGAAAAUUGACCACAACAUAAUAUUUUUGAGGAACCUGAUAGAUCCUGUGAAGUUCAAUUCACUUCUGGAGGCGGUUAAAUCCAUGACUGGAUUCGACAACGCCAUUAACAGAUUUGGUACUCCAGCAACGGCACUGAAACUGCGGCAUUCACUCUUAAGUGUGUCAAAGAUAUUGCAAGAAGCAUUACGUCAACAAGAUGAGGCCUUGAGGAUAAAUGCGGAGCAGUUUUCAGUUAAUUGAAAUGGAAUGGACUUCACAUGUCCUCUAAUGUGCUUAAGACUUUAGACCAGAAGAAAUGGAACAGCACCCAACCACUCCCUCUGAGGACAUCAGGAAACUGCAUGAGUACUUGAAACAUCUUGAAGAGGUCCACAAAAAGGCAUUGAUUGAAAAUGCUUCCCAAAAAUCAUGUAGUGAGCUCCCUAAGGUUACAAGCAAAAUGUCAGCCAAGCUCAAAUUGUUGCAGGACAACAAUCUUAGUUGUUUUAGAUUAAAAUUUUGGAUGCUAAUUUGUGACAUAUUGUGGAGACACUGUCUAUGUGAAAAGUGAACUACAUUUUGAUUUUA